UAACAGGAUUCCCCUAGUAACUGCGAGUGAAGCGGGAAAAGCUCAAAUUUAAAAUCUGGCGGCUUUGCUGUCCGAGUUGUAAUCUGGAGAAGCGUUUUCCGCGUCGGACCGUGUACAAGUCUCUUGGAACAGAGCGUCAUAGAGGGUGAGAAUCCCGUCCAUGACACGGACUACCGAUGCUUUGUGAUACGCUCUCGAAGAGUCGAGUUGUUUGGGAAUGCAGCUCAAAAUGGGUGGUAAAUUCCAUCUAAAGCUAAAUAUUGGCGAGAGACCGAUAGCGAACAAGUACCGUGAGGGAAAGAUGAAAAGCACUUUGGAAAGAGAGUUAAACAGUACGUGAAAUUGUUGAAAGGGAAACGCUUGAAGUCAGUCGCGUCUUGCAGGACUCAGCCUUGCUUCUGCUUGGUGUACUUCCUGUAGGACGGGUCAACAUCGAUUUUGGUCGACGGACAAAGGGGAUGGGAAUGUGGCAGUCUUCGGGCUGUGUUAUAGCCCUCUUCCGCAUACGUCGACUGGGAUCGAGGACCGCAGCGCGCCUUUAAUGGCCGGGAGUUCGCUCCACGUAUCGCGCUUAGGAUGUUGGCAUAAUGGCUUUAAGCGACCCGUCUUGAAACACGGACCAAGGAGUCUAACAUGCUUGCGAGUGUUAGGGUGGAAAACCCUUGCGCGUAAUGAAAGUGAAAGUUGAGAACCUCCGCAAGGGGGUGCACCGACGCCCGGCCCUGAAGUUUACUGACGGUGCUGCGGUAGAGCACGUAUGUUGGGACCCGAAAGAUGGUGAACUAUGCCUGAAUAGGGCGAAGCCAGAGGAAACUCUGGUGGAGGCUCGUAGCGAUUCUGACGUGCAAAUCGAUCGUCAAAUUUGGG
rnacentral:rRNA from 1 species